rnacentral:rRNA from 1 species
UGCUAAUCUGCGAUAAGCGUCGGUAAGGUGAUAUGAACCGUUAUAACCGGCGAUUUCCGAAUGGGGAAACCCAGUGUGUUUCGACACACUAUCAUUAACUGAAUCCAUAGGUUAAUGAGGCGAACCGGGGGAACUGAAACAUCUAAGUACCCCGAGGAAAAGAAAUCAACCGAGAUUCCCCCAGUAGCGGCGAGCGAACGGGGAGCAGCCCAGAGCCUGAAUCAGUGUGUGUGUUAGUGGAAGCGUCUGGAAAGGCGUGCGAUACAGGGUGACAGCCCCGUACACAAAAAUGCACAUGCUGUGAGCUCGAUGAGUAGGGCGGGACACGUGGUAUCCUGUCUGAAUAUGGGGGGACCAUCCUCCAAGGCUAAAUACUCCUGACUGACCGAUAGUGAACCAGUACCGUGAGGGAAAGGCGAAAAGAACCCCGGCGAGGGGAGUGAAAAAGAACCUGAAACCGUGUACGUACAAGCAGUGGGAGCACGCUUAGGCGUGUGACUGCGUACCUUUUGUAUAAUGGGUCAGCGACUUAUAUUCUGUAGCAAGGUUAACCGAAUAGGGGAGCCGAAGGGAAACCGAGUCUUAACUGGGCGUUAAGUUGCAGGGUAUAGACCCGAAACCCGGUGAUCUAGCCAUGGGCAGGUUGAAGGUUGGGUAACACUAACUGGAGGACCGAACCGACUAAUGUUGAAAAAUUAGCGGAUGACUUGUGGCUGGGGGUGAAAGGCCAAUCAAACCGGGAGAUAGCUGGUUCUCCCCGAAAGCUAUUUAGGUAGCGCCUCGUGAAUUCAUCUCCGGGGGUAGAGCACUGUUUCGGCAAGGGGGUCAUCCCGACUUACCAACCCGAUGCAAACUGCGAAUACCGGAGAAUGUUAUCACGGGAGACACACGGCGGGUGCUAACGUCCGUCGUGAAGAGGGAAACAACCCAGACCGCCAGCUAAGGUCCCAAAGUCAUGGUUAAGUGGGAAACGAUGUGGGAAGGCCCAGACAGCCAGGAUGUUGGCUUAGAAGCAGCCAUCAUUUAAAGAAAGCGUAAUAGCUCACUGGUCGAGUCGGCCUGCGCGGAAGAUGUAACGGGGCUAAACCAUGCACCGAAGCUGCGGCAGCGACGCUUAUGCGUUGUUGGGUAGGGGAGCGUUCUGUAAGCCUGCGAAGGUGUGCUGUGAGGCAUGCUGGAGGUAUCAGAAGUGCGAAUGCUGACAUAAGUAACGAUAAAGCGGGUGAAAAGCCCGCUCGCCGGAAGACCAAGGGUUCCUGUCCAACGUUAAUCGGGGCAGGGUGAGUCGACCCCUAAGGCGAGGCCGAAAGGCGUAGUCGAUGGGAAACAGGUUAAUAUUCCUGUACUUGGUGUUACUGCGAAGGGGGGACGGAGAAGGCUAUGUUGGCCGGGCGACGGUUGUCCCGGUUUAAGCGUGUAGGCUGGUUUUCCAGGCAAAUCCGGAAAAUCAAGGCUGAGGCGUGAUGACGAGGCACUACGGUGCUGAAGCAACAAAUGCCCUGCUUCCAGGAAAAGCCUCUAAGCAUCAGGUAACAUCAAAUCGUACCCCAAACCGACACAGGUGGUCAGGUAGAGAAUACCAAGGCGCUUGAGAGAACUCGGGUGAAGGAACUAGGCAAAAUGGUGCCGUAACUUCGGGAGAAGGCACGCUGAUAUGUAGGUGAAGUCCCUCGCGGAUGGAGCUGAAAUCAGUCGAAGAUACCAGCUGGCUGCAACUGUUUAUUAAAAACACAGCACUGUGCAAACACGAAAGUGGACGUAUACGGUGUGACGCCUGCCCGGUGCCGGAAGGUUAAUUGAUGGGGUCAGCGCAAGCGAAGCUCUUGAUCGAAGCCCCGGUAAACGGCGGCCGUAACUAUAACGGUCCUAAGGUAGCGAAAUUCCUUGUCGGGUAAGUUCCGACCUGCACGAAUGGCGUAAUGAUGGCCAGGCUGUCUCCACCCGAGACUCAGUGAAAUUGAACUCGCUGUGAAGAUGCAGUGUACCCGCGGCAAGACGGAAAGACCCCGUGAACCUUUACUAUAGCUUGACACUGAACAUUGAGCCUUGAUGUGUAGGAUAGGUGGGAGGCUUUGAAGUGUGGACGCCAGUCUGCAUGGAGCCGACCUUGAAAUACCACCCUUUAAUGUUUGAUGUUCUAACGUUGACCCGUAAUCCGGGUUGCGGACAGUGUCUGGUGGGUAGUUUGACUGGGGCGGUCUCCUCCUAAAGAGUAACGGAGGAGCACGAAGGUUGGCUAAUCCUGGUCGGACAUCAGGAGGUUAGUGCAAUGGCAUAAGCCAGCUUGACUGCGAGCGUGACGGCGCGAGCAGGUGCGAAAGCAGGUCAUAGUGAUCCGGUGGUUCUGAAUGGAAGGGCCAUCGCUCAACGGAUAAAAGGUACUCCGGGGAUAACAGGCUGAUACCGCCCAAGAGUUCAUAUCGACGGCGGUGUUUGGCACCUCGAUGUCGGCUCAUCACAUCCUGGGGCUGAAGUAGGUCCCAAGGGUAUGGCUGUUCGCCAUUUAAAGUGGUACGCGAGCUGGGUUUAGAACGUCGUGAGACAGUUCGGUCCCUAUCUGCCGUGGGCGCUGGAGAACUGAGGGGGGCUGCUCCUAGUACGAGAGGACCGGAGUGGACGCAUCACUGGUGUUCGGGUUGUCAUGCCAAU